UACGUAGGGUGCGAGCGUUAAUCGGAAUUACUGGGCGUAAAGCGUGCGCAGGCGGUUCGUUGUGUCGGUGGUGAAAGCCCCGGGCUUAACCUGGGAAUGGCCAUGGAAACUGGCGAACUGGAGUGUGGCAGAGGGGGGUGGAAUUCCCAGUGUAGCGGUGAAAUGCGUAGAUAUUGGGAAGAACACCGGUGGCGUAGGCGACUAGCUGGGCCAUAACUGACACUGAGGAACGAAAGCCAGGGUAGCGAAUGGG
rnacentral:rRNA from 1 species